GAUGAAGAACGUAGCGAAAUGCGAAAAGUAAUGUGAAUUGCAGAAUUCAGUGAAUCAUCGAAUCUUUGAACGCACAUUGCGCCCGGCAGUACUCUGCCGGGCAUGCCUGUUCGAGCGUCAUUUCAACCCUCAAGCCCUGCUUGGUGUUGGGGUCCCACGGCCGCCGUGGGCCCUGAAAGGAAGUGGCGGGCUCGCUACAACUCCGAGCGUAGUAAUUCAUUAUCUCGCUUAGGGCGUUGGGCGGCGCUCCUGCCGUUAAAGAACCAUCUUUAACUCAAGGUUGACCUCGGAUCAGGUAGGAAUACCCGCUGAACUUAAGCAUAUCAAUAAGCGGAGGA
rnacentral:misc_RNA from 1 species